ensembl:lncRNA
CUGGAGAGAAAAGAACUGGUGCAUUUUAGCGAUGCAAUUAGGGCCCAUUAGUCUUGGCUUUAAUUAGAAGGCUGGAGCGUUGAUAUUUCAAGUGCUGGUUUGUGCUGGUGUUGUGUUUCCCCGCAGCAUCGCUCGUCUCCGUCCUGAAUCAGGAGUCUGUCUGGCGCGAGUGACUCUCUGUGUUUUUUUUUACUUUGGUUUCUGCGAUGUGCUGUUAUGUUCUGAUUUCAGCUUAGUUGCAUUUUUAAAACAAAGACAUAACCUCAAAAAAUGGAGGAAACAAGGAAAAACUGAAGGGGAAAAGAUAUUAUAGAAGUGAGGGCAUUAGAGGAAAUUAGAGGUUAAUUUGCCAAAAGGGAAAAUAAAAAAUUCAGGAGAGAAAAAGCGAGCCAGAGAGAUUUUUUUUUAAAAAAAAGAAAAGAAAAAUGAGAGAGAGUGGGGAGAGAGAACAUGGGUGAGAGAUGAGUGAGGAGUUAAAACCUGAAGCCUCAAAGUCAAAUUGAUCUGCUUGAGGUGCCACAUUUAAUUGUUAGCCAACAGACAGACAUGACAUCUUAGCUCUGCCGCUCUCUCCCCAGCCACAUUAGCCAACCGCACCGCUUCAUGUUCACAGAGUGGAGGCAGACUGUCUGGAGGAGGAGCAACACUCACCAUCACUCCAUCCUCCUUCCUGACUCAUCACUGCUCUUUUGACUCUCAGCCCACAGCAGCAGGGACAACAGGAAAGGUCACAGCAGACCAAAGGCACAGUGUGGAAAUCACAUCUGUCUUUGUUUAGAUUGUCAAAUAUAAAAAUAAAAAUAUUUACAAUAUAAAUUUAGGCUGAGUAAUGCCCAGCUGCCCUUUUACACAAGGAAAGAGCAUGCAGUGUUUAUAUGAAAGCAUCAACAGGAUUUUUCAACUUGGACUACUCUGUCCUCUACCUCCCACCACUCUACUUGUUCACUUUGCCAGGAAUAGCUUAUUAAAAACAACUGAGCUCAUUACAGCCAAUUAAGUCAUGAUUCAUCUGUCUAGAUGGCAUUAAUAUGUUAAGCAGACCACAGCAUGCACACAUGUUAACUGGCACACACACACACACACACUCACUUAAAAAAAAACCAAAAAAAAACCCACACAAAUUUAUGUAGAAAUAGUGUCGCUAUGAACAGCAUAAGCACUUAUCAUAAUGAACAUUUUCAGUAGUCAACAAUUAUAUUUUUGGUCUCUUUGGUCAUCAUUUAGACUGCUGACACUUUUUGUAAUUACCUUGGAGGAGGUUUUGUUUCAAGCGAGUUAGACUGUACUGUACCCUCAUACCUCACCAACAUACUCCAUCACUGCGGUGCUUUGAACAAACUCUGCUCCUCUGAUGCUCAGUCAGGGCCAAGCACCAACCCCGGAGCAACAGACUGUUCUCCAUGGCUGCUGCUUGAUUCUCAAAGUCUCCCCACAAGCACAUUGAAGGCUGCACCAACACUAAAAAGAAAAGAAAAAAUUAUUGGCGCACCUUAUUCAAAUUAAUGUAUUGUUUAGUGGAGUUUUAUCUUUCAUCUUAGGGUGCACUGAAAAGUCUUCACUAACCAAAUAUAAUAUUAUUAUUAAUAGCAAAAACAGUUAUGUCUUCUAUUUGCAACUACUGC